rnacentral:rRNA from 1 species
UACGUAGGGUGCAAGCGUUGUCCGGAAUUAUUGGGCGUAAAGAGCUCGUAGGCGGUCUGUCGCGUCGGCUGUGAAAACCCGGGGCUCAACCCCGGGCCUGCAGUCGAUACGGGCAGACUAGAGUGCGGUAGGGGAGACUGGAAUUCCUGGUGUAGCGGUGAAAUGCGCAGAUAUCAGGAGGAACACCGGUGGCGAAGGCGGGUCUCUGGGCCGAUACUGACGCUGAGGCGCGAAAGCCAGGGGAGCGAACGGG